CACUCCUGCGGGAGGCAGCAGUGGGGAAUUUUGGACAAUGGGCGAAAGCCUGAUCCAGCAAUGCCGCGUGAGUGAAGAAGGCCUUCGGGUUGUAAAGCUCUUUUGUCAGGGAAGAAACGGUGAAAGCUAAUAUCUUUUGCUAAUGACGGUACCUGAAGAAUAAGCACCGGCUAACUACGUGCCAGCAGCCGCGGUAAUACGUAGGGUGCAAGCGUUAAUCGGAAUUACUGGGCGUAAAGCGUGCGCAGGCGGUUUUGUAAGUCUGAUGUGAAAUCCCCGGGCUCAACCUGGGAAUUGCAUUGGAGACUGCAAGGCUAGAAUCUGGCAGAGGGGGGUAGAAUUCCACGUGUAGCAGUGAAAUGCGUAGAUAUGUGGAGGAACACCGAUGGCGAAGGCAGCCCCCUGGGUCAAGAUUGACGCUCAUGCACGAAAGCGUGGGGAGCAAACAGGAUUAGAAACCCUGGUAGUCC
rnacentral:rRNA from 1 species